rnacentral:tRNA from 1 species
GCCAUCGUCUAGCGGUAGGACCCUCGGUUCUCAGCCGGGAAAACGCCGGUUCGAAUCCGGUUGAAGGCGCCA